GACGAACGCUGGCGGCGUGCUUAACACAUGCAAGUCGAACGGAAAGGCCCUGCUUUUGUGGGGUGCUCGGGUGGGGAACGGGUGAGUAACACGUGGAUUACCUGCCCUUCUCUUUCGGGUAACUUGCGGAAACUGGGGCUUAUACCGGGGAGGACCUCCUGCUGCGUAGGGGGGGGUGGAGAGUUGCGGCGGUUGGGGAUGGACUGGCGGCGUAUCAGCUUGUUGCUGGGGUGGUGGCUUGCCGAGGGUUUGCCGGGUAGCCGGCCUGAGAGGGUGACCGGCCACAGUGGAGAUGAGAGACGGACGAGGCUGCGACGGGAGGCAGCAGUGGGGAAUAUUGCACAAUGGGCGGAAGCCUGAUGCAGCAGCGCGGCGUGGGGUAUGACGGCCUUCGGGUUGUAAACCGCGGUCGCCUGUGAUGAAGCGGGGUUGACGGUAGCGGGUAAAGAAGCACCGGCUAACUACGUG
rnacentral:rRNA from 1 species